rnacentral:rRNA from 1 species
GAGCGAGAAAGGGGGGGCAACUCCCUGAGUAAAGCGGCGCACGGGUGAGUAACACGUGGGUAAUCUGCCCUGGAGUGGGGAAUAACACCGGGAAACCGGUGCUAAUACCGCAUACGAUAGCGAGGUCUGCGGAUCUUGCGAUGAAAGGAGCAAUUCGCUCUAGGAGGAGCCCGCGGCUGAUUAGCUAGUUGGUGAGGUAAUGGCUCACCAAGGCAACGAUCAGUAGCCGGUCUGAGAGGACGGUCGGCCACACUGGAACUGAGACACGGUCCAGACUCCUACGGGAGGCAGCAGUGGGGAAUUUUUGGCAAUGGGGGCAACCCUGACCAAGCAACGCCGCGUGGGUGAUGAAGUCUCUUGGGACGUAAAACCCUUUCGACGGGGAAGAAACCGCAAGGUUGACGGUACCCGUAGAAGAAGCCCCGGCUAACUCCGUGCCAGCAGCCGCGGUAAUACGGGGGGGGCGAGCGUUGUUCGGAAUUACUGGGCGUAAAGGGCGCGUAGGCGGUUCGCUAAGUUGGAUGUGAAAACUCUGGGCUCAACCCAGAGCCUGCAUCCAAAACUGGCGGGCUAGAGUUCUGGAGGGGGUAGCGGAAUUCCUGGUGUAGCGGUGAAAUGCGUAGAUAUCAGGAGGAACACCGGUGGCGAAGGCGGCUACCUGGACAGAAACUGACGCUGAGGCGCGAAAGCUAGGGGAGCAAACAGGAUUAGAUACCCUGGUAGUCCUAGCCCUAAACGAUGGAUACUUGGUGUGACUGGGAUUGAAUCCAGUCGUGCCGAAGCUAACGCAUUAAGUA